UACGUAGGGACCAAGCGUUGUUCGGAUUUACUGGGCGUAAAGGGCGCGUAGGCGGCUUGACAAGUCACUUGUGAAAUCUCCGGGCUUAACUCGGAACGGCCAAGUGAAACUGUCAUGCUAGAGUGCAGAAGGGGCAAUCGGAAUUCUUGGUGUAGCGGUGAAAUGCGUAGAUAUCAAGAGGAACACCUGAGGUGAAGACGGGUUGCUGGGCUGACACUGACGCUGAGGCGCGAAAGCCAGGGGAGCGAACAGG
rnacentral:rRNA from 1 species